AAAAACUUUAAAUAAUCACCUACAAACUAACACAUCGAAGCCCGUGAGCUAGCACGAGGUAUGUGAAACAGAACAUAGCAGGAUAUGGGAUUGAACACCAUAUAGAAACACCAGCAAUGCCGAAAAACGUUGCCUGUAAAUCUUCCUGUAAUCGAAUCCAAAGUACCGACGACCCCAAAACAACGCACGACGCCCACGAUGCUAUAUGAAGCACCGCUAACACUGACAUUUUUACUACACUAAUCAGAAGACUGUUUCCAGGUUUACUGUCGUUCGAUUUUUCCUGUGCCAUGAUGCUUCCCUGGUCCACGUACAGCACGCAGUACAGUUACCCGCGUAAUAUCCUAUAGUAUCGCUUAUAAGAGCUCAUAACUAUUGGCCACAACUCAAUUGAGAAUGCGAAUAUUAGAAGUUGUUCGCAUCCCAUAUCAGAUUUUGUAUCCUCAAAUGUUUCUUUGUUUGUUGUCUAUUGUGUUUCUACAACAAAAGGGGCGGGCCAAGCAAACUGACAUAAAGUGGGCGUAACAUAUGUGAAAAAUUAUGUUAAUGCCACCUUCGUUUCUCAUUAAAC